rnacentral:rRNA from 1 species
GAGUUUGAUCUUGGCUCAGAUUGAACGCUGGCGGCAGGCCUAACACAUGCAAGUCGAGCGGAUGACGGGAGCUUGCUCCUUGAUUCAGCGGCGGACGGGUGAGUAAUGCCUAGGAAUCUGCCUGGUAGUGGGGGACAACGUUUCGAAAGGAACGCUAAUACCGCAUACGUCCUACGGGAGAAAGCAGGGGACCUUCGGGCCUUGCGCUAUCAGAUGAGCCUAGGUCGGAUUAGCUAGUUGGUGGGGUAAUGGCUCACCAAGGCGACGAUCCGUAACUGGUCUGAGAGGAUGAUCAGUCACACUGGAACUGAGACACGGUCCAGACUCCUACGGGAGGCAGCAGUGGGGAAUAUUGGACAAUGGGCGAAAGCCUGAUCCAGCCAUGCCGCGUGUGUGAAGAAGGUCUUCGGAUUGUAAAGCACUUUAAGUUGGGAGGAAGGGCAGUAAGUUAAUACCUUGCUGUUUUGACGUUACCGACAGAAUAAGCACUGGCUAACUCUGU